UAGGACUUCAUUUCGAUGAAAUUCCAUCAGCAUUUGCGGUCUAUAAAUAGACGGCCUCCUCGUCGGCCUCGGUUUCGUUUUGCUUCGCACGCGGCGGCAACAAGGUUAAGAGAGAGAGAGAGAGAGAGAGGAAUUUUUCUUUUUCUUUUUUCUUGAAAAUAUUAUUAUAUAUAGAAAAGGGGAGGAAUUGGAUCUCUCUCCUCUACUUCGACUUCGAUCGUUCUGUGAUAACUGGGGUUUUCUGUUUGGUGAUCAUAACUGCAAGGGACGGACAAAAUUUAUCAUCAACAAUGGAGGUAUAUGGCAGUUCCAUGGUUGUCGAGCACAGCAAUGUGAUUUUUUUGUCCACUAUUCUGAACAGGGAUGGACCAAUCCCUAUUCACAAAUGUGACAGUAAAUGCCAAAAUGAACACAUUUUUGGGAAUAUGUAUCACUGCAAACUAACAGGAAUCACACAUAUCUGUGAUAAAAACUGUACCCAGAGAAUUUUGUAUGAUAACCAUAGCUCACUUUGCAGAGUUAGUGGCCAGAUUUUCCCUCUCUCGCCAGUUGAAGAGCAGGCGGUGAGAGGACUUCGAAGGAAGCUUGAAAUAGCGAGUACUGAUGGCUGCGCUCGUAAGCGUAGGCGGGAUGCUCAACUGCAUCCCUCUCCUUUUGAGAGGUCUUUUUCUGCAGUCUCUCCAAUCUGCAGCCAAGUUGGAGAUGGCAUGAACAUGAACUAGUACCCAUUAAUCCCAUCACUUUCGUAUUCCCAAUUUAACUGUUUUCCUCUUUUUGUUCUCUUUCAUGAAAAAAUGGAAUGAAGUACUUUGUUGAGACUUAAGUAAGUUGAGCAUGCUCCAAAGAUGUAGGUUGUCUUUGACAACUUUUAUUUUAGCAUAUUUAUGGGACAAAUAUUUAUGUAAUAUCUGACUUAUAUAGACUUCUGCGACAUUAGUGAACUUAUGGUGUCAAAAUCCUAUUUGCAUAAUCGUCAGCUUUUCUGUCAAUUUAGCUGCUUAUUUAAUCAUUACUUCCUAGCUUAUAAGCUAUACCAAUCAAAGUUUCUGUCAUUGGUCAAGGCUGUACCAUUAUUGUUGUUAUGAUGCCAUCGUAUAUUUGAGAUUGUUAAUUGUAUUCACUUAUCUAUCUAGUUUCAUGCCUCUGCUGCAUUUUGAUUUGUUAGAUGUUUGCAUCUUGUUAUAUUGUUAGGAGCAAUAACAUUGAACGGAUUAGCUAAUGUUCAUUGUGUAUUUCCUUAGUUGUGAGCUUUCUCAAUUCUAUCACAGCAAUGUUUAUAUAAUAUUUGUGCAAGAAGACCAAAUGCUGCCAGUGCAGGCUUUGAUUGUUUAAUGAAAGAUAAUGUUUUUUCUACUGUUGCAAUUUUUCAUGUCAUUUUUUAUUAAUUCAAGGCUGAUGGAGGCAUAUUUUAUAUUGUUCUUUUAUGUUAUUUUUUAUGUUAAUUUCUUAUAAUUAAAUCUUUAAGUUCUUUUGCAGGCAUAUCAGAGGUUUGGCAACUCAGACUACUUAUGAGUACUAUUUUAGCAAUUUUUCGCUACAACUUCAAGGAAUGUAAUGCUUUGAAAUUGUUUUUCUUGUAGGUGUGUGAAAUAAUCUCCAAGUGAAUCCCAGUUUCACAAUUUAUAGCGUGAGUACUCAGAAAGAGAACAGAUUGCAACAUUGGCAUAGUUUUGCAACAUUAAUUUAUGGAUGAACAUCUGAACGGGAGCCUUUCUUGGCCUCUCAUUAUGCUAUAAUGCAUGAACAUCUGAAGCCUAUCAGUUUAAUUUCUACUGGAACAGUUUUCAAUCAAGCAAUGGAGUCUGCUACAAAAUAGUCCACAUGUUUCAGUAGAGUUGAGAAGUAACGCCAAUCAUGCAGCUUCUCUAGUUGCAAAGAGUUUUCUCUUCUCUGUAACCUUUUUUAGCAUUGGAAAUUUUGAAUCUGUACCUUCCACUUCUCCUACAGGUGUAUGAAGUAAUCUCCAAGUGACUCUUAGUUUCACGAUUACUAGCAUGAAUGUGCAGCAAGACAACAGGUUGCAAUUUUGACGUAUUUUGGCAACAAUCAUUUCAAGUGUUUCAAAAAGUUUUGCAGGGGGGGUCCUCUGUUGGCUUCCUGAGAUAAUCUAACGAUGACUUCAGGUCCAUAAGUCUUAUUUCUUAUGGAUUAACUUUCAUUAAAGUGGUUGACUCUGCUGCAAAGUAAUUUUCAUGGUUUCAUUGAGUUCUUGAGGAGGAAUACCAAUUAUGCGUCCCGUCUGGUUGAAAGAAUCUGAAUGUGUACUGUGACCUGUUUUACAUGUUCUUGACGUUGACUGUAAUCGGUUGCCUUAUAUUAUAAAUCUAUGGAUUAUCCUC